rnacentral:sRNA from 1 species
UGAUACCAGGGUCAAAAGGUCAGAAAGCCGAUGCAAGCUUGCUUGCAAGAGGUUUUUUGAACUCUUGACCAUGGUAUCA